CCAAUAGACGAAAGUAAAAAAUGUCAUUCGUUUUUUGUUUUUUUUUUUUGUUUGUUUGUGAAUAUUUUUUCGUAAGUUUUAGAGACUUCCUUAUCUGAACGCUCUGUUGUCACUGUAGUGCGCUGCAAAGAACUCUAAAAAGUUUUACCGGAAACCAAAAGUAGUGCAAAGAACAGAAAGUAUAUCCAUGAAAAAGAAGGGUCAAAUGGCAUUACUUUGUUUGAAAGAAGAUGAAAAACUAUGUCUAUUAUCUCUUAGAUGGAAGAAAAUUACAUCAAUUCAUAGUAUUUAACUUUAGAAAUUUCUAGACAAUGGAAAACAUCAGAUCACUGGUCAUAAAAAGGAGAUUUAUCGCUGUUACAAAGGGUCAAAAGGAGAUUUCGGCAGUCAAGCAACUAAGUGAAUUGGCGCAUUCGGUUGACCCAUUUGCAAUUAAAAGAAAUGCAUGCGGAAUGAAUAAGGGAUCUGACUGAACAAAGUGUGAUUUUCGUGGAGAAAUUCGUUAACUAUCCCAUUCAACGUUGUUUAACUGAAAAACAAUAUAAAAACAUACAUUGAA